UACGUAGGGUGCAAGCGUUAAUCGGAAUUACUGGGCGUAAAGCGUGCGCAGGCGGUUUUGUAAGCCAGAUGUGAAAGCCCCGGGCUUAACCUGGGAAUGGCAUUUGGGACUGCAAGGCUUGAGUGCGGCAGAGGAGACUGGAAUUCCUGGUGUAGCGGUGAAAUGCGCAGAUAUCAGGAGGAACACCGAUGGCGAAGGCAGGUCUCUGGGCCGAUACUGACGCUGAGGAGCGAAAGCGUGGGGAGCGAACAGG
rnacentral:rRNA from 1 species